AGAGUUUGAUCAUGGCUCAGGACGAACGCUGGCGGCGUGCUUAACACAUGCAAGUCGAACGGAGGUUACUUUGAAACUUAGUGAUAAGUAACCUUAGUGGCGGACGGGUGAGUAACGCGUGGAUAACCUGCCUACAUGCCUGGGACAACACCGGGAAACUGGUGCUAAUACCGGAUACGCUCGCGGAGGCACAUGCCUUUGUGAGGAAAGGAGCAAUCCGCAUAUAGAUGGGUCCGCGUCCCAUUAGCUAGUUGGGGGUGUAAAAGACCACCAAGGCGACGAUGGGUAGCCGGCCUGAGAGGGUGGACGGCCACACUGGAACUGAGACACGGUCCAGACUCCUACGGGAGGCAGCAGUGGGGAAUCUUCCGCAAUGGGCGCAAGCCUGACGGAGCAACGCCGCGUGAGUGAAGAAGGCCUUCGGGUUGUAAAGCUCUGUCUUCAGGGAAGAAAAAAAUGACGGUACCUGAGGAGGAAGCCCCGGCUAACUACGUGCCAGCAGCCGCGGUAAAACGUAGGGGGCGAGCGUUGUCCGGAAUUACUGGGCGUAAAGGGCGCGUAGGCGGUCAUUUAAGUCAGAGGUGAAAACUACCGGCUUAACCGGUAGCCUGCCUUUGAAACUGGAUGACUUGAGGGCAGGAGAGGGGAGUGGAAUUCCCAGUGUAGCGGUGAAAUGCGUAGAUAUUGGGAGGAACACCAGUGGCGAAAGCGGCUCUCUGGCCUGUUUCUGACGCUGAGGCGCGAAAGCGUGGGGAGCAAACGGGAUUAGAUACCCCGGUAGUCCACGCCGUAAACGAUGGGUGCUAGUGUAGGAGGUAUCGACCCCUUCUGUGCCGUAGUUUACACAAUAAGCACCCCGCCUGGGGAGUACGGCGCAAGGUUGAUACUCAAAGGAAUUGACGG
rnacentral:rRNA from 1 species